GACGAACGCUGGCGGCGUGCUUAACACAUGCAAGUCGAACGGAAAGGCCCUGCGUUUGUGGGGUGCUCGAGUGGCGAACGGGUGAGUAACACGUGAGUAACCUGCCCUUGACUUAGGGAUAACUUCAGGAAACUGGGGCUAAUACCGGAUAGGAGCUCCUGCUGCAUGGUGGGGGUUGGAAAGUUUCGGCGGUUGGGGAUGGACUCGCGGCUUAUCAGCUGGUUGGUGGGGUAGUGGCUUACCAAGGCUUCGACGGGUAGCCGGCCUGAGAGGGUGACCGGCCACAUUGGGACUGCGAUACGGCCCAGACUCGUACGGGAGGCAGCAGUGGGGAAUCUUGCACAAUGGGCGGAAGCCUGAUGCAGCGACGCCGCGUGCGGGAUGCCGGCCUUCGGGUUGUAAACCGCUUUCGCCUGUGACGAAGCGUGAGUGACGGUAAUGGGUAAAGAAGCACCGGCUAACUACGUG
rnacentral:rRNA from 1 species